AGAGUUUGAUCCUGGCUCAGGAUGAACGCUGGCGGCGUGCCUAAUACAUGCAAGUCGAGCGAACCACUUCGGUGUGGAGCGGCGAACGGGUGAGUAACACGUAGGUGAUCUGCCCAUCAGACGGGGACAACGAUUGGAAACGAUCGCUAAUACCGGAUAGGACGAAAGUUUAAAGGUGCUUCUGGCACCGCUGAUGGAUGAGCCUGCGGCGCAUUAGCUAGUUGGUAGGGUAAAGGCCUACCAAGGCGACGAUGCGUAGCCGACCUGAGAGGGUGAACGGCCACACUGGGACUGAGACACGGCCCAGACUCCUACGGGAGGCAGCAGUAGGGAAUCUUCGGCAAUGGGCGAAAGCCUGACCGAGCAACGCCGCGUGAAUGAUGAAGGCCUUCGGGUUGUAAAAUUCUGUUAUAAGGGAAGAACGACUUUAGUAGGAAAUGGCUAGAGUGUGACGGUACCUUAUGAGAAAGCCACGGCUAACUACGUG
rnacentral:rRNA from 1 species